CCAACGGCCCUCUUUAGGGCCACAAAUAGUGUGUUUAAAUCUUGA
rnacentral:ncRNA from 16 species